AGGGACUGACCACCCAGAGAGCACUAAAAAGAGUGAUAAAUUGCUCAAAGAGAAGAAAAG
rnacentral:sRNA from 1 species